GCCAGCAUGACACAGUGGUUUGAGUGCUGGAUUAUGAUUCUGGAGACCAGGGUUCAAUUCCUGCUUGGCC